GAAAAUAAGAAUAACAGACUUGAAACAAAGUACAAUACUUGUAUACCAAUUAUUAACAACAACUCAGUGGAUCCCCUUGAGAGCAGAGAGAUUGUUUCUGAUAGACUUUCAACUAAAGAAAAGUUGAAAGAAGCAGUGACAACAAGUAGUAACAAUACAAUAUAUUAAGAAAAUCGAAACCAAGAUAGCAAUAGAGCGAUAGGUAGUAAUACCAAUCUAAGGAUAAAAUGAUAUCAUACUAAUACUAAUGCUAUCCAACUAAGGAAGACAAAGGGAAGUGCUCGACUACCUACUAACAUUCUACCCUAAUCUUCGACCUCCACAUCCUCCUAUCACGGGUCAUGUCCACAGUAAACUUUGGCUGCGUCAUGUCCUGCCUAAUCACCUCUCCCCAAGAUUUCUUUGGUCUACCUCUGCCCUUACUCACCAGGCCAAUCUUUCAUACCUCCUAAGCUGGUGUAUCUGUGAUUCUCCUCUUAACAUACCUCCAUCUUAGUCUCCUGCACACCUUAUGAUUUGAAAAAACAAGGAUAUAAAAUCACACUACCAACAUGAAAAUGGCUAUGAAUGUAGCCAAUAACGCUUCAAUGAAAAAAAUAACGUUAUAAUAAAAUUUUCUUAUAUAAAUUUCUAUCUUCGCCACAGACUUGGAUAUAUCAUUGCUUCUUUAUUUCGAAAAAUACGCCUCACUAAUCUUGAUAACCAUGGGAAGUCAUAUUGUUCACAUAUUAUGAACACGAAGCGCGAAAGUAAACCAGAACAAACAUAACCCACAAAGAGUACAAAAAAUAAAUCAUCCUUAAGAGGAACCCUUAUACCACAAACACGUGGUAUGAUAAAAGCAAUCAACAUGCCAAACCCUAAGAUUAAAUAUAAACACCCUAGAACGAACAAACCAGCAAUGCCGAAAUCGUCAUUGAUAUUCUCACUUGGAUUGAAAACACAACAUGCAACAUCAUUUGUGUCGUGACGUUCAUCAUCUUCUCUAGAUCUCCCCGCUUCUGCCAUUUGUAAAGAAAAUAAAUAAUAAUAAGUAAAAGAAAAAGGGAAGACAGUGUUAUAUAGUAUAGAAUUGUAA
rnacentral:lncRNA from 1 species